rnacentral:tRNA from 3 species
GGCCCCGUCGUCUAACGGUUAGGACGCCGCUCUUUCAAGGCGGCAAUACGGGUUCGACUCCCGUCGGGGUCA